rnacentral:rRNA from 1 species
CUGGGAUUUAGAUACCCCACUAUGCUUAGCCCUAAACAUUGACAACAAGAUACAACUGUUGUCCGCCUGGACACUACGAGCACCAGCUUGAAAGCCAAAGGACUUGGCGGUGCCUUAGACCCACCUAGAGGAGCCUGUCCUAGAACCGAUAACCCCCGUUCAACCUCACCCUUCUUUGCUUUAUCCGCCUAUAUACCGCCGUCGUCAGCUCACCCUGUGAAGGACCCAUCGUAAGCAAAAUUGGCACAGCCCUAAACGCCAGGUCGAGGUGUAGCGUAUGGAAGGGGAAGAGAUGGGCUACACUCUCUAAUGCAGAGGAAACGAAUGAUGUGCUGAAACGCACAUCUGAAGGAGGAUUUAGUAGUAAGUGGGAAGUAGAGUGUCCCACUGAAAUUGGCCCUGAGGCGUGCACACACCGCCGGUUCACUCUCC